CAGUAGCCGCGGUAAAACGAAGGGGGCUAGCGUUGCUCGGAAUCACUGGGCGUAAAGGGUGCGUAGGCGGGUCUUUAAGUCAGGGGUGAAUCCUGGAGCUCAACUCCAGAACUGCCUUUGAUACUGCAGAGCUAGCAGGUGAGAGAGGUGAGUGGAAUUCCGAGUGUAGAGGUGAAAUUCGUAGAUAUUCGGAAGAACACCAGUGGCGAAGGCGGCUCACUGGCUCAUACUGGACGCUGAGGUGCGAAAGCGUGGGGAGCGAACAGGAUUAGAUACCCCUGUAGUCCCUGUCUCUUAUACA
rnacentral:rRNA from 1 species